rnacentral:rRNA from 1 species
GUUAGGAAUUUUGCACAAUGGGGGAAACCCUGAUGCAGCAACGCCGCGUGGACGAUGAAGGCCUUCGGGUCGUAAAGUCCUUUUCAGAGGGAAGACCUCGACGGUACCUCUGGAAUAAGCCUCGGCUAACUACGUGCCAGCAGCCGCGGUAAUACGUAGGAGGCGAGCGUUAUCCGGAUUUACUGGGCGUAAAGAGCGCGUAGGCGGUUCCGUAAGUUGGGCGUGAAAGCCCCCGGCUUAACUGGGGAGGGUCGUUCAAUACUGCGGGACUUGAGGGCGGAGGAGGAGACUGGAAUUCCCGGUGUAGUGGUGAAAUGCGUAGAUAUCGGGAGGAACACCCGUGGCGAAGGCGAGUCUCUGAGCCGUUCCUGACGCUGAGGCGCGAAAGCGUGGGGAGCGAACGGAAUUAGAUACCCCAGUAGUCC